GAAAAUGGAUGAAGAUCUGAGAAAAGAUUCAGAUGUCUCUCUUAUUGAACCGCCAUUGCUUAUUGAAGAAAUGGGAGUGGUACUUGCAGAGAAACUGCCAUCUGAAGAAGUGCAAAUUGCGAAACCGUCGUGCCAUCAAAAACCC